GGCAGGAGCGGCAGGGGUGCGCUGAUGGCUGCUCUGGGGGACGAGGUGCUGGACGCAUACAUGUACCCGGCGUGCGCCCUCUACUCGUACCCGUACCCCUACCCCUACCCGGCCGCCGCCAAGGGCAAGGGAGCGGCGGGCGGGGGAGGCUGGCGGCACCGGGACGGCGGCUACCCUCCAGUUUCCUCCUCCUCUGACGGCGCGGCCUCGUCGUCUUUCCCGGGCUACGGGCAGCUAGCGGCUGCCGAGUACUUCCACAGCUACCAGCGGGCGCAGCUCAUGGCCCUCCUGUCGCAGGUGGGCCCCGGCCUCGCCCCGCGGCCCGGCCGCGCCAGCAUUCGGGACGUGGCUGUGCAGGUGAACCCGCGCCGCGACGUCUCCGUGCAGUGCUCGCUGGGGCGGCGUACGCUGCUGCGCAGGGCCCGCGAGCCCGGCCCUGAGCCCGAGGGCGCGGCGGGCGCGGGCGGCAGCUGCCCGGCCUCCCCGGAGCUGGCCCGCCGGGGCCCCGAGCAGGGCAGCCCGCCGAGCGGCGCCCCGCGGCCCGUGCGCUUCCCGCGCACCGUGGCGGUGUACUCGCCCGUGGCUUCCCGCCGCCUUUCCACCCUCCUGGAAGGGGCCGAGACUGCGGCGGCCGAGCAGAGGCCCGGGGCGCCGGACGGAGAGCGAGGGCCUCCAGCUGCGAGGCCCCGAGGCCCCGAGGAGGGAGAGGGGUCGGCGAGGAAGGAUCCCCAACGGCCGCAGUCCGAGGAGGACGAGGCCCAGGCCGGCGUACCGGCGAGCAGGGAGCAGCCCCCGCCGGUGGCCGGCGCCCCGGACGCCGCGGGCGAGAGGUGGUCGCCGCGGAGCCCCCAGCCGGGCAAGGAGCGCCUGCGCUUCCAGUUCUUAGAACAGAAAUAUGGCUACUAUCACUGCAAGGACUGCAACAUCCGAUGGGAAAGUGCCUACGUGUGGUGUGUACAGGGCACUAACAAGGUUUACUACAAGCAGUUUUGCAGAACAUGUCAGAAGUCUUAUAACCCUUACCGAGUGGAGGAUAUCACCUGUCAAAAUUGUAAACAGACUAGAUGCUCCUGCCCAGUAAAAGUUCGCCACGUGGACCCCAAAAGGCCCCACCGUCAAGAUCUGUGUGGGAGAUGCAAAGGCAAACGCUUAUCCUGUGACAGCACUUUCAGUUUCAAAUAUAUCAUUUAAUUGAAUGUGAAAAACCAAAACACUGGUCCCGCCGAACGUGUGCUAGUGGAGCAGACAAUGUAGGUUAUGCUGGUGGAUGAGCAGUUCUCAUAGACCAAAAGGAGGUACACUCACUCUGGCUUUGGUGAGUCUGUUCCAAGAAAAUGUCUGACGAUUUCCUAAAUUUAAGAUGAUCUGUUGCUGCUACUGCGAUCUUUAAGGUCUGGGAUCUUUUAAGAUCGCUGGAUAUCUGCUGUCAGAUUUAUGAACAGGUCCUGAAAUAGUACAUCAUUUCAAAAACCAAUAAUGCUUAACUGGGGUGUGGGGGGGGGGAAAGAUUCACUAUAAGCGACUUUUCACUUCAUUGCUCCUGCAAGGAAAUAUGUAUGUAUGUAUUUUAAUUUCCUAGAAUCAGUUACUAGUGCCUAGUACAACUGAAUAUUUACCUCUGCUUCAUUUUUAAUUGUGUUUACUUGAUUGAUAAGUUUACAGUAGGCUUGGAACAGAAGCAGCAAUUGAAAAUGCAAUUUGUAUAACCUUCGGCAGAGCUCCAGUUCCUAGAAAUAAAUAACACUGUGUUAAAUUUAGGUGUUAUUUUCCAUAUUUGACUAGACAACAUAUUUCAAAUAAAAAUUUAUAAGUAAAUAAUUGUUAAAAUUUGUUCUGAGCUUAAUUUUUCUGCAGUAAGCAAGUUAAUAUGGUAUGAAGUUGAUGAAAGACAGAUGAAAGAUGCUCUGAAGACUGGGAUUAAAAUAAAAAUUUAAAGAUUAUUGGUUACAUAAUUCAUUUUUAGUGUGAAGCACAUUUUCACAUUAGACAAACAGAAUUUUUCAGCAGGCAAUAAAUAGAAUGCUUUAAAAAGAAUUCACUAGAACUUAAAACUUUAACUUCAUAACGAGAAGAAUUUACAAGUGCAUAUACUCUUGCCACACUGAGAUGUACAUCUCACUGCGUUUAUCAACAAGUGCUUGAUAAAGCAAAAAGUAAAACUCUGGAUAACCUCUCACCUAAAAAGUAAGAAUAGUUUGUCUUUAAAAUGAGUUCCUUUUUUUUUAAGAAAGCAAAUUUGUAAUCUCACUGAAACAAGACAAUGAAAUUAACAAAUGCACUUGGAUUCUUAAAAUUAAGAAAUAUAAAAGGAGACAUGUUAGAGAUGUGUAAAAAGGCAGCGCUAGUUGUACAGAUUAAUUAUAACACCUCAUUGUCUUUGUAGGACUGAAACAUUUCAUGGAUUAGGGCUAUGCAAAACUGAAGCACACACUACUCUUAAAGCAGUCCAUGACAAAACAUUGCUAGGUCACAAAUGGCAAAUGAAAACCAGUUUGUCUGACAUGGAUAAGUAGUCUAUAAAUUAAGACAGGUCACUUACUGCUAGAAUUUCCAUUUGCUAAGCAAGAAGGUGAUCGGGUCACAAAAAAUACAAAGGAAGAAAAAGACCAAGAAUUAGUGUAACAAAUCAUUUUAACUAGGGUCACAGAUGUCCCAGGCAAACUGAAGAACAUUUAAAAUUACACCCAAAAGAAAAAUUUAUGAUGCUAUUUCCAGAAUAAAACUUUUUAGACAUUUACUGUAACAAUCCAGGGUGUUUUUCACUCUUUGCCAAAUAACAGCUAAAUUACAUUUAGGCUAUAGUUUAUUUCUUGUGCAAAAGCUACAAGGAAUAAAACUAGUGGGAUAUUGGGAAAGUUGGCUACUGAAAGUGGUCUUCUAUCUGGGUUUUUAUAUAGCCUUUCCAAAAAAAAAAAAAAAGCCAAAUAAA